GCAAUUUUGCUGUGGAGCAUUGAAAUGACAGUCGAAAUGGUGGGCCUAUCUUUUGCAAGUUGUGUGCAAAGAAGAACCACAUUUAUGCACCUUAAAGCCUCUGUUUCAAAGCAUCUAACAGAUAUUUUUGGGUCUGCUAGUCCUAGAGCAUUGUCUUCUUUCCGCAACUUCCAUGCCUGCAUAAAACUGGAGUCAGUUUACUACUGUGAUGUCAGUUUAUGGAAACGAAUCAAAGUUCUCCAUCAGUAACAGCUUACAAAUCCAAAAUGCAGAGAGUCUCCCCUGCACGCAAGGACUCGUGAGUCGAGGAAAUUAGAAAAGGGAAAAGAUGUUACUACCCUUUGCACGAUAAAUUGUUACCUUGUAUACUGGCCCAAAACCACCCUGCGCUAGCUUAUUAGUGUCGGUAAAGUUACUUGUUGCUGUGGCCAAUUCUUCCAAUUUAUUAUAGCACUAGCUCCAGGAUAUAGCACAGACAACAUCACCCCAACACAGUUCAUCAGAGACCCGGAUGCUGUAACUUCAGAAGGCAGCGUCUUUAGGCUGGGAUUCUUCAGCUCUCUGGGUCCUGCCAAUCGAUAUGUGGCCAUAUGGUACAACCAAGUCUCUGUUGUCUCGGUAAUUUGGGUGGCCAACCGAGACAAGCCUCUCAAGGAUUCCUCAGGGACUGUGAAGAUAUGUGAGGACAGCAACAACGUGGUCUCCAAUGGACAGAAUGAGGUUCUCUGGUCGUCGAACCUGUCAGGCAUCGCAAUGGCAAAUAGCACUACUCGCGCGCAGCUUUUUGACACGGGGAACCUGUUGUUGCAAUAGAUCAUUCAAGCAAUAACAGUACAGUGACUGUUUGGGAGAGUUUUGGGAAUCCCACGGACUCCUUCUUGCCGAGCGUGAAAAUCACCAAUGGCGAAGGAAAGGAAGCGCUUAGAUCUUGGAAAAGCUCUUCCGAUCCAUCUGUUGGGAAUUUUUCUGCAGGUUUAGACACUCAGAAUAUUCCUGAAGUUUUAAUCUGGAAAAUGGGUAGUCCGUAUUGGAGAAGCGGGCCUUGGAAUGGUCUAGUUUUCAUUGGAGUCCCAGAUAUGAGUUUGGUGUAUCUUAAAGGCUUCACUCUUGCGGAUGACAAGGAAGGAACUAUUUAUCUUACUUACACUGUUGUUAACCAGUCAUUCUUGUCCAACUUUGCAUUGAAUCCUGAAGGAAACCUGGUACAGAAAUACUGGGAUGAUGCGAAGCAAAAUUGUCACAUUUCAUGGUCAGCCUUAAACUGUGAAUGUGAUGUUUAUGGAACUUGUGGUUCCUUCGGGUCUUGCAAUCCGAAGAGUUCACCGAUAUGCAGCUGUUUGAGAGGCUUCGAGCCGAAGAACGUAAUGGAAUAGAAUGCCGGAAAUUGGACAAGUGGAUGUGUUGGGAUAACACAAAUACAAUGAGAGAUGACAAACAGUAGUCCCGAAAUUGGCAAAGCAGAUGGGUUUUUCAGGUUGGAGAACAUAAAAGUCCCACACUUUGCAGAGUGGUCAAGUGGGGAUAAUUGCGGAGAUCGCUGCUUUGCUAAUUGUUCCUGCAUAGCUUUUGCAUACUUUUAUGGGCUCGGCUGCAUGAUAUGGACAGGAAAUUUGAUUGAUAUACAGAAGUUCUCCGAAGGUGGCAUCGAUCUUUACAUUCGUGCGGCAGAUUCAGAACUGAGUAUGCUGCACUUUGCUCAUUCAUUCAAUUAUUCAUUGUCCUUCAAGAGUCGAGUUUCAAUAGUUCCGGUUUGUAAACAUUUCCAUUCUUAAUUUGCAGAUAAGAACAGGAACGUGAAAGUAAUUAUAUUUGCAAUGGUGAUGACAGGAGCGGUUGUCUUCACUUUCUUCCUAUGCAGAUGCAUGGCUAAGAGUAAAGGUAAACGCAUGAUGAACAGUCUGCUCAGUUGUGUUGGAAUGCACCGAAACCCGGUCAAGAGGUUGUUACUUACUAUAACUUUUGUAUCUAGCUGCAAGCAAGGAAUUAUUACUCUCCAGAAGAGAGAAGGCAUAUCGAGUGUAUUCUGGUGGAAAUAUGCCGGUCGAUGAGAUAAAGAAGAUGAAACUUCAGAACCUACCGCUCUACACUUACGGUAUGCUGGUAAUUGCUACAGACAAUUUCGACUCAUCCAAUCUGCUCGGGCAAGGGGGUUUUGGUCCAGUGUAUAAGGGGAAAAUGCCAAAUGGACAGGAGAUUGCUGUCAAGAGAUUAUUGCAAGCCUCCGGACAAGGCCUGGAAGAAUUCAUGAACGAAGUGGUGGCGAUCUCGAAACUCCAACACUGAAAUCUCGUCAGGCUACUUGGAUGCUGUAUCGAAGGAGACGAGAUGAUACUGAUAUACGAGUAUCUGCCAGACAAAAGUUUGGAUGCGAUUCUGUUCGGUAAGAACAUACUCGUGCCAUAUUGUUUUACUGUAGCAUG